rnacentral:rRNA from 1 species
CCUACGGAGGCAGCAGUGGGGAAUAUUGGACAAUGGGGGAACCCUGAUCCAGCCAUGCGCGUGUGUGAAGAAGGCCUUUUGGUUGUAAAGCACUUUAAGUGGGGUAGGGAGGCUUACCUGGUUAAUACCUGGGAUAAGGUGUGGACUGUUACCCACAGAAUAAGCACCGGCUAACUCUGUGCCAGCAGCCGCGGUAAUACAGAGGGUGCGAGCGUUAAUCGGAUUUCUGGGCGUAAAGCGCGCGUAGGUGGUUAAUUAAGUCAAAUGUGAAAUCCCCGAGCUUAACAUGGGAAUUGCAUUCGAUUACUGGUUACUAGAGUAUGGGAGAGGAUGGUAAAUUCCAGGUGUAGCGGUAAAUGCGUAGAGAUCUGGAGGAAUACCGAUGGCGACAGGCAGCCAUCUGGCC